rnacentral:rRNA from 1 species
AGUUUGAUCCUGGCUCAGGAUGAACGCUAGCUACAGGCUUAACACAUGCAAGUCGAGGGGCAGCAUGGUCUUAGCUUGCUAAGGCCGAUGGCGACCGGCGCACGGGUGAGUAACACGUAUCCAACCUGCCGUCUACUCUUGGACAGCCUUCUGAAAGGAAGAUUAAUACAAGAUGGCAUCAUGAGUCCGCAUGUUCACAUGAUUAAAGGUAUUCCGGUAGACGAUGGGGAUGCGUUCCAUUAGAUAGUAGGCGGGGUAACGGCCCACCUAGUCUUCGAUGGAUAGGGGUUCUGAGAGGAAGGUCCCCCACAUUGGAACUGAGACACGGUCCAAACUCCUACGGGAGGCAGCAGUGAGGAAUAUUGGUCAAUGGGCGCAGGCCUGAACCAGCCAAGUAGCGUGAAGGAUGACUGCCCUAUGGGUUGUAAACUUCUUUUAUAAAGGAAUAAAGUCGGGUAUGUAUACCCGUUUGCAUGUACUUUAUGAAUAAGGAUCGGCUAACUCCGUGCCAGCAGCCGCGGUAAUACGGAGGAUCCGAGCGUUAUCCGGAUUUAUUGGGUUUAAAGGGAGCGUAGAUGGAUGUUUAAGUCAGUUGUGAAAGUUUGCGGCUCAACCGUAAAAUUGCAGUUGAUACUGGAUAUCUUGAGUGCAGUUGAGGCAGGCGGAAUUCGUGGUGUAGCGGUGAAAUGCUUAGAUAUCACGAAGAACCCCGAUUGCGAAGGCAGCCUGCUAAGCUGCAACUGACAUUGAGGCUCGAAAGUGUGGGUAUCAAACAGGAUUAGAUACCCUGGUAGUCCACACGGUAAACGAUGAAUACUCGCUGUUUGCGAUAUACAGCAAGCGGCCAAGCGAAAGCGUUAAGUAUUCCACCUGGGGAGUACGCCGGCAACGGUGAAACUCAAAGGAAUUGACGGGGGCCCGCACAAGCGGAGGAACAUGUGGUUUAAUUCGAUGAUACGCGAGGAACCUUACCCGGGCUUAAAUUGCAGAUGAAUUACGGUGAAAGCCGUAAGCCGCAAGGCAUCUGUGAAGGUGCUGCAUGGUUGUCGUCAGCUCGUGCCGUGAGGUGUCGGCUUAAGUGCCAUAACGAGCGCAACCCUUGUUGUCAGUUACUAACAGGUUCCGCUGAGGACUCUGACAAGACUGCCAUCGUAAGAUGUGAGGAAGGUGGA